rnacentral:lncRNA from 1 species
CUACUUAUUUUGUUGAAGGAUUGAUUUUUUUUCAUGGUAGAUUACUUUGUUUAGAAAUCAGACAUAAUGCUUUACUUUUUUAUGGGAGGACUGAUUUUUUUCUUAUAAAAGAUAAGAGAUUUCUAAAGAAAUAGGACCCUUAGGGUCCUAUAUAAACCUUUAUAUUUUUUAUGAAGAGGACAAUGAAUGAUUUUAUAAAUCUCACAAAUACUUGUGUCAAUCACUC